UGCAGGAGGUCAACGAGGCUGC
rnacentral:misc_RNA from 1 species